UGGGGAAUAUUGGACAAUGGGGGGAACCCUGAUCCAGCCAUGCCGCGUGUGUGAAGAAGGCCUUAUGGUUGUAAAGCACUUUAAGCGAGGAGGAGGGUACUGGUAUUAAUACUACCAGCUACUGGACGUUACUCGCAGAAUAAGCACCGGCUAACUCUGUGCCCGCAGCCGCGGUAAUACAGAGGGUGCGAGCGUUAAUCGGAUUUACUGGGCGUAAAGCGUGCGUAGGCGGCUAAUUGAGUCGGAUGUGAAAUCCCCGAGCUUAACUUGGGAAGUGCAUGCGAUACUGGUUAGCUAGAGUGUGGGAGAGGAUGGGAGAAUUCCAGGUGUAGCGGUGAAAUGCGUAGAGAUGUGGAGGAAUACCGAUGGCGAAGGCAGGCAUCUGGCCGAACACUGACGCAGAGGUACGAAAGAAUGGGGAGCAAACAGG
rnacentral:rRNA from 1 species